rnacentral:lncRNA from 1 species
CAGUUUCAAAGAACUUGCGCAGCGGGAGAAGACCCAAACAUGUGCGUGUGUUUUCGCUUGUGCGUCAGUGUUUCAGAGUUUAUGUGUUUGUACAGUUUGCUCUUAGAAAACAUGCGCAAGGAUCCAUGACCAUGAAUGUCGGGCCUUUGUGGUAAAUGUAGUUCUGCUAUUUAUGCAAUAUGAGUAAAGAAAAUGUAAUUGGCCUGGAAAGGCUCGCCCACAGAAAGACGCAAGUGGCUCGAAGACCCGCAAGUUGUUUUCCUCAUACUCCCUCGGUUGUGUGUCCCACCCCCUAUUUGGGAAACGAAGUAAUAAGGGAGUCCAUUGCUUCGUAACUAUAGACUCUGGGGUUCUAAGAAGUGGAGGAGAAUGCAGAUCCCUGCAGGCAUGUGUUGUGUCUCAUUGAUAACAAAAUACUCCACUGCCAAAGGACAUGCCUCUCUUUCUCUAUCACAAACCAUUGGCAACCUGUGUAGAUUUUCCCAUGUCCUUACAUUCAAGUCUCUCUGCCAG